GGCCUGGUGGUGUAACGGUAAUACACCUUCUGUAACUUCACGGACAAUCUUGAAAGUUUCCGAAGGAGACCCUUGUUCAAUUCAAGGUCAGGACA